AGAGUUUGAUCCUGGCUCAGGAUUAACGCUGGCGGCGUGCCUAAUACAUGCAAGUCGAAUGGUUAGCUUGCUAACCAUGGCGAACGGGUGAGUAACACGUAGGCAACCUGUCUAAGAGACGAGGAUAACCAUUGGAAACGAUGGAUAAUACUGGAUAGGAUAUAAUAAGGCAUCUUGUUAUAUUUAAAGAUUUAUCACUAUUAGAGGGGCCUGCGGCGCAUUAGCUAGUUGGUGAGGUAGGGGCCCACCAAGGCGAUGAUGCGUAGCCGGACUGAGAGGUUGAACGGCCACAAUGGGACUGAGAACGGCCCAUACUCCUACGGGAGGCAGCAGUGGGGAAUAUUGCACAAUGGGGGGAACCCUGAUGCAGCCGACGCCGCGUGAAGGAAGAAGUAUCUCGGUAUGUAAACUUCUAUCAGCAGGGAAGAUGAUGACGGUACCUGACUAAGAAGCCCCGGCUAACUACGUGCCAGCCGCUGC
rnacentral:rRNA from 1 species